rnacentral:rRNA from 1 species
UACGAAGGGGGCUAGCGUUGCUCGGAAUCACUGGGCGUAAAGGGUGCGUAGGCGGGUCUUUUAAGUCAGGGGGUGAAAUCCUGGAGCUCAACUCCAGAACUGCCUUUGAUACUGAGGAUCUUGAGUUCGGGAGAGGUGAGUGGAACUGCGAGUGUAGAGGUGAAAUUUCGUAGAUAUUCGCAAGAACACCAGUGGCGAAGGCGGCUCACUGGCCCGAUACUGACGCUGAGGCACGAAAGCGUGGGGAGCAAACAGGG